AGCAGCCGCGGUAAUUCCAGCUCCAAUAGCGUAUAUUAAAGUUGUUGCAGUUAAAAAGCUCGUAGUUGAAUUUCGGGGUCAGUAGGUUGGUCGUGCCACAGGUAUGAACUGGCCUCACUGAUUCCUCCUUCCUGAUGAACCGUAAUGCCAUUAAUUUGGUGUUGCGGGGAGACUGGACUGUUACUUUGAAAAAAUUAGAGUGUUUAAAGCAGGCUAACGCUUGAAUACAUUAGCAUGGAAUAAUGAAAUAGGACGUUCGGUCUUAUUUUGUUGGUUUCUAAGAUUGACGUAAUGAUUAAUAGGGAUAGUUGGGGGCAUUAGUAUUCAAUUGUCAGAGGUGAAAUUCUUGGAUUUAUUGAAGACUAACUACUGCGAAAGCAUUUGCCAAGGAUGUUUUCAUUAAUCAAGAACGAAAGUUAGGGGAUCGAAGACGAUCAGAUACCGUCGUAGUCUUAACCAUAAACUAUGCCGACUAGGGAUCGGAUGAUGUUAAUUUUUUAAUGACUCA
rnacentral:rRNA from 1 species